rnacentral:rRNA from 1 species
AGAUUAAGUUAUUAAGGGCGCACGGUGGAUGCCUUGGCACUAGAAGCCGAUGAAGGACGUUACUAACGACGAUAUGCUUUGGGGAGCUGUAAGUAAGCUUUGAUCCAGAGAUUUCCGAAUGGGGAAACCCAGCAUGAGUUAUGUCAUGUUAUCGAUAUGUGAAUACAUAGCAUAUCAGAAGGCACACCCGGAGAACUGAAACAUCUUAGUACCCGGAGGAAGAGAAAGAAAAUUCGAUUCCCUUAGUAGCGGCGAGCGAAACGGGAAGAGCCCAAACCAACAAGCUUGCUUGUUGGGGUUGUAGGACACUCUAUACGGAGUUACAAAGGACGACAUUAGACGAAUCAUCUGGAAAGAUGAAUCAAAGAAGGUAAUAAUCCUGUAGUCGAAAAUGUUGUCUCUCUUGAGUGGAUCCUGAGUACGACGGAGCACGUGAAAUUCCGUCGGAAUCUGGGAGGACCAUCUCCUAAGGCUAAAUACUCUCUAGUGACCGAUAGUGAACCAGUACCGUGAGGGAAAGGUGAAAAGCACCCCGGAAGGGGAGUGAAAUAGAACCUGAAACCGUGUGCUUACAAGUAGUCAGAGCCCGUUAAUGGGUGAUGGCGUGCCUUUUGUAGAAUGAACCGGCGAGUUACGAUUUGAUGCAAGGUUAAGCAGUAAAUGUGGAGCCGUAGCGAAAGCGAGUCUGAAUAGGGCGUUUAGUAUUUGGUCGUAGACCCGAAACCAGGUGAUCUACCCUUGGUCAGGUUGAAGUUCAGGUAACACUGAAUGGAGGACCGAACCGACUUACGUUGAAAAGUGAGCGGAUGAACUGAGGGUAGCGGAGAAAUUCCAAUCGAACCUGGAGAUAGCUGGUUCUCUCCGAAAUAGCUUUAGGGCUAGCCUCAAGUGAUGAUUAUUGGAGGUAGAGCACUGUUUGGACGAGGGGCCCCUCUCGGGUUACCGAAUUCAGACAAACUCCGAAUGCCAAUUAAUUUAACUUGGGAGUCAGAACAUGGGUGAUAAGGUCCGUGUUCGAAAGGGAAACAGCCCAGACCACCAGCUAAGGUCCCAAAAUAUAUGUUAAGUGGAAAAGGAUGUGGCGUUGCCCAGACAACUAGGAUGUUGGCUUAGAAGCAGCCAUCAUUUAAAGAGUGCGUAAUAGCUCACUAGUCGAGUGACACUGCGCCGAAAAUGUACCGGGGCUAAACAUAUUACCGAAGCUGUGGAUUGUCCUUUGGACAAUGGUAGGAGAGCGUUCUAAGGGCGUUGAAGCAUGAUCGUAAGGACAUGUGGAGCGCUUAGAAGUGAGAAUGCCGGUGUGAGUAGCGAAAGACGGGUGAGAAUCCCGUCCACCGAUUGACUAAGGUUUCCAGAGGAAGGCUCGUCCGCUCUGGGUUAGUCGGGUCCUAAGCUGAGGCCGACAGGCGUAGGCGAUGGAUAACAGGUUGAUAUUCCUGUACCACCUAUAAUCGUUUUAAUCGAUGGGGGGACGCAGUAGGAUAGGCGAAGCGUGCGAUUGGAUUGCACGUCUAAGCAGUAAGGCUGAGUAUUAGGCAAAUCCGGUACUCGUUAAGGCUGAGCUGUGAUGGGGAGAAGACAUUGAGUCUUCGAGUCGUUGAUUUCACACUGCCGAGAAAAGCCUCUAGAUAGAAAAUAGGUGCCCGUACCGCAAACCGACACAGGUAGUCAAGAUGAGAAUUCUAAGGUGAGCGAGCGAACUCUCGUUAAGGAACUCGGCAAAAUGACCCCGUAACUUCGGGAGAAGGGGUGCUCUUUAGGGUUAACGCCCAGAAGAGCCGCAGUGAAUAGGCCCAAGCGACUGUUUAUCAAAAACACAGGUCUCUGCUAAACCGUAAGGUGAUGUAUAGGGGCUGACGCCUGCCCGGUGCUGGAAGGUUAAGAGGAGUGGUUAGCUUCUGCGAAGCUACGAAUCGAAGCCCCAGUAAACGGCGGCCGUAACUAUAACGGUCCUAAGGUAGCGAAAUUCCUUGUCGGGUAAGUUCCGACCCGCACGAAAGGCGUAACGAUUUGGGCACUGUCUCAACGAGAGACUCGGUGAAAUCAUAGUACCUGUGAAGAUGCAGGUUACCCGCGACAGGACGGAAAGACCCCGUGGAGCUUUACUGUAGCCUGAUAUUGAAAUUCGGCACAGCUUGUACAGGAUAGGUAGGAGCCUUUGAAACGUGAGCGCUAGCUUACGUGGAGGCGCUGGUGGGAUACUACCCUAGCUGUGUUGGCUUUCUAACCCGCACCACUUAUCGUGGUGGGAGACAGUGU